CCUAGUAAGCGUGAGUCAUCAGCUCACGUUGAUUACGUCCCUGCCCUUUGUACACACCGCCCGUCGCUACUACCGAUUGAAUGGCUUAGUGAGACUCUCGGAUUGGUGACUGGAGAUCGGCAACGGUCCCUUUUCGCUGAAAAGUUUGUCAAACUUGGUCAUUUAGAGGAAGUAAAAGUCGUAACAAGGUUUCCGUAGGUGAACCUGCGGAAGGAUCAUUAGAAUUCUGGGAAAUUUAUUUUCCUUGACACUUAUUCAAAAAAUUCCAAUCUAAAUUUUUAUUUAAAAUCGAAAACUUGAAUAUAAGAUAACUUUCAACAACGGAUCUCUUGGCUCUUGCAUCGAUGAAGAACGCAGCGAAAUGCGAUAAGUAGUGUGAAUUGCAGAAUUCCGUGAAUCAUCAAAUCUUUGAACGCAAAUUGCACUUCUUGGUAUUCCGAGGAGUAUACUUGCUUGAGGGUUGGUCCACCAAAAAAUCGUGAAAUAAAUUUUCGCGGAUCUGGGUUUUCCGAGUUUUUUAGACUCCGGUAACCUUAAAUUUAUCCUAACAAUCUUUAGGUAUAUUAGAAAUGUUUUACCUUACAUGUUGUAAGUUCAUCGAUAAUCAUACCAGUUGUUAAGUCGCGUUGUCCGCCUAGCAUCUUUCGAUUAGGCGAGAUAAUCCAAUCAUUCUUUAUUCCUACCUCAAGUCAAGUAAGGAUACCCGCUGAACUUAAGCAUAUCAAUAAGCGGAGGAAAAGAAACUAACUAGGAUUCCCUUAGUAACGGCGAGUGAACUGGGAAAAGCUCAAAUUUUAAAUCACCUCGGUGAAUUGUAAUUUGAAGAGUGUGCAUUGACAGUUCCUGUUUAAUCCAAGUCCUCUGGGAUGAGGUAUCAUAGAGGGUGAGAAUCCCGUCCGUGAUUAAACCGGAAUUGCACUAAUGCAUGCUCCAAGAGUCGAGUUGUUUGGGAUUGCAGCUCAAAAUGGGUGGUAAAUUUCACCUAAGGCUAAAUAUAUGCAAGAGACCGAUAGCGAACAAGUACCGUGAGGGAAAGAUGAAAAGAACUUUGAAAAGAGAGUUAAACAGUACGUGAAAUUGUUGAAAGGGAAACGAUUGAAGUCAGUCAUGCUAGUAGGGAAUCAACUUGGUGGUUUUCUUCCUUGUGUACUUCCUUGCUCGGCAGGUUAGCAUCAAUUUUGGUUGUCAUCAAAUAAUUGGGGGAAUGUGUCUUUCUUCGGAAAGUGUUUAUAGACCCUGGUUGAUGUGGCGACUGGGAUUGAGGAUUGCAGCGGAUGCCUUUGGCUAGUCACCUGUCUUCUGGCGGUCACCUCGCUUUCGACAGCUUGCUAACGAUGGUGAGAUUUGGCGGUCUAGGAUUCAGAGUGAACAUAAAUUCGCUAAGGAUGCUGACGUAAUGGCUUUAAACGACCCGUCUUGAACACGGACCAAGGAG
rnacentral:rRNA from 1 species